UGCGGGGUAGAGCAGUUGGUAGCUCGUCGGGCUCAUAACCCGGAGGUCAGAGGUUCGAGUCCUCUCCCCGCUA
rnacentral:tRNA from 1 species